GGCGGGGGCUGGCAGGGGGUACUCCCGCGCCAGGCAGGCGGAUUCUACCGCGCGCAACACGAGACCAUCAGCGAAGCGGCGAACGGCUGAGUAACGCGUGGGCAACCUGCCCGGAAGAGGUGGAUAGCCUUCCGAAAGGAGGGGUAAUCCGCCGUGUUGUUCGUUGCCGCAUGGUGACGGACUAAAGGGUCUUCGGACUCGCUUCCGGAGGGGCCUGCGUCCUAUCAGGUAGUUGGCGGGAUAACAGCCCACCAAGCCGAUGACGGGUAGCUGGUCUGGGAGGACGGCCAGCCAGACGGGCACUGAGACACGGGCCCGGCGCCGAAGUCCCUGGGAAGACUGGGGACGUAGGCGGCAGCAGUGGGGAAUCUUGCGCAAUGGGCGAAAGCCUGACGCAGCGACGCCGCGUGGGGGAAGAAGGCGGCUUUUUGCACCGUUGUAAACCCUUGUUCGGGCGCGAAGAAAGACCGGGUGCGCCCGGUCCCGACGGUAGCGCCCGAGAAAGCACCGACUAACUACGUGCCAGCAGUCGCGUUGAGACGUAGGGUGCGAGCGUUGUCCAUGCUCAUUGGGCGUAAAGGGCGCGCAGGCGGUGAAGUCUGUCCUCCGUCAAAUCCUCCGGCUUCACCGGAGGGCCGCGCGGGGGAUACUGCUUCACUCGAGGGCAGGAGGGGAGAGUGGAAUUCCCGGAGGAGCGGUGAAAUGCGUUGAUACCGGGAGGAACACCGAAGGCGAAGGCAGCUCUCUGGAAUGUCCCUGACGCUGAACGCGCGAAAGCCGGGGGAGCAAACCGGAUUGGAGACCCGGGUAGUCCCGGCCGUAAAAGAUGGACACUGGUCCUGGGGAGCCCCGGCCCCGUUGGCCGGCUGAUUUUUCCAGGACGAAGCUCACGCGAUAAGUGUCCCGCCUGAGGAGUACGGCCGCAAGGCUGAAAAUCAAGGGAAUUGGCGAGCAUCCGCACAAGCGGCCGAGCACGUGGCUUAAUUGGAUGAGGUCCCAAGAACCUUACCAGGGCUUGACAUGCCUCGGACCCCCCGAGAAAUCGGGGCUCCAUGGAAACAUGGCCGGGGCACAGGUGGCGAGUGGCUGCCGUCAGCUCGUGCUGUGAAGCGUUGGGUUCACUCCCAUAACGGGCGUAACCCUCGCCCGGUGUUGCCAGCGGGUGUGCCCGAAAGGGCACAUGCCGGGAACUCACCGGGGACCGCCGUGGUCUUGCUUCUGUUUUUCUCGCGAUGACGGAAGUGGGAAGGCCAUGGGAGGAAGGAGGGGAUGACGACAAGUCCGUACACCCCGGAUGCCCUGGGCUGCACACGUGCUACAGUGGUCCGUACAGAGAGAACCAACGCCGCGAGGCCGAGGAAAGCUCAGAAAGCGGACCAAGGUUCGGAUUGCAGUCUGCAACCCGACUGCAUGAAGCCUGAAGUCGCUAGUAACCGCGGGUCAGCCAUACCGCGGUGAAUACGUUCCCGGAUGCCGUUCACAUUGCCAUCCACUACCUCCCAGGUGGGUUGCCCUGAAGCCGCGCCUACCGAAUGGGCCAUGAUGACCCAUCGGUGCGCGUCCAGGGGUAGCCCUGACGAGGAGGUUGAAGGGGGGGCAAAGACGCCGUACUGCGAGGUGCGGCAG
rnacentral:rRNA from 1 species